rnacentral:ncRNA from 1 species
UACAUGAAUAUUCUUAGUUGGUAGUUUGAUUUAUUUGAUUAAUUUCAGUAAUGAUCAAGACUUUGGCAUGCUAAAGAGCUUUGUGACUCUUGAGGGGUCAGUGGCCAAAAAUCUUAGAGAGACAAGUAGUAUCAACUAAUCAACACUUAGCAAUAACAGAUCUGUGAUA